UACGGAGGGUCCAAGCGUUAUCCGGAUUUAUUGGGUUUAAAGGGUACGUAGGCGGAAAAUUAAGUCAGUAGUGAAAGCCUCCCGCUUAACGGGAGAACUGCUAUUGAUACUGGUUUUCUUGAAUAUAGUUGAAGUAGGCGGAAUACGACAUGUAGCGGUGAAAUGCAUAGAUAUGUCGUGGAACACCGAUUGCGAAGGCAGCUUACUAAGCUAUUAUUGACGCUGAUGUACGAAAGCGUGGGGAGCGAACAGG
rnacentral:rRNA from 1 species